UGUGUUCGGUCUGUACUCACGACUUCGGUCAAGAUUCUCCCAUACAGACCGACUAAGCUCGGUUAAUAAGAGCUUAAUAAUGACCAGCACGAAGAACAGCGAUGAAGAUGAGAUGUAAACGUCUUUUGUUGAAGUUUCUUCUUGUUUUGCGGAGUAAGCAAAUGAAUGGUAACCAUAGUAAAAUAAAAAUUCCAAAAAAUUGUGUUUGUGGUGUAUCGUGGGGCGAUGUUUUGCUCUCAUGUCCCUCCCCCGCCCCGCCCCCACUCCUUUACUUUCUUAUUAUUUCCCAGUGAUCUUUGCGAGUGUAGUUCGUCUCCGCCAUUUUGGCACGUGUGCAAGAAAAACAGCGGAAAAUUGAGUUUAUCGUAGUUUCAAAGAGGUGGAAUGUGGAGACCUGUUUGUUGACAACGUCUGGACGAAGUGACCAUCUACAGGCUUGGUAUGGAUAUUUUCUGGGACCACACAAUAUGUUCAUGUAUGGGCUUAUAUUUUGAUGAGUUACUGGUUCAUUGGUCAGAGUGGGUUUACUGAGAUAUGGAUGCAUGCUGCAGUUUGGAGAGCACAAGAUCUAGGAAAGGGUAAGAGUUAUUCAAGCCAUAGCAAGAGCAAUAGACCUUUUCAUGGUUUCUGAUGCCAUCUUGCUUGGGGGGCAAACACGACAAAAAUUACUGUAAAUGUAUGGGGAAGAUGGAGAAUCUAAUGUCUAACAACUCAUGGAAAUUUGAGUUCUGAAGUAUUUAUGAAUUAAAAACUAAAGAUACUUACAUAAAAGAAUUUACAGAUCACAUUUUAGAGAAAUGGCCUCGCUUGGCCAUACAUUCCAUACAUUAGUUUGUAAAACCGAGUUGCAAUUCAUGGGAAAAUUAAGAGUGAAAUUAAAAGUACAAUUCAUUGCCUAACAGUAAAUCUAUAUUCUUCAAAUUUGACCAAACAAACCUGCCGUUGGGGUAUCUUUUCCUUGUAACUCAUAAAAUACUCAGAGCGUCAGUCACUCUCAAUUUAUUGGGAAUUGAACUUUUGACUUUUCCCAUUCAUUCACAGCAAUUUUUACUGUGUGUGCCCCUUAAGCAAGAUGGCGUCAGAAACCAUGAAAAGGUCUAUUUCAAGGGGGUCGUACAGUACAGGGGGUCCUGGCCACUGUUUACAAACCGAAAAAACAGCGAAUCACAGAUCACAGAUAUAAAAAUUUCAUUUUCCUGAAUCACGAAAAUAAGCGAGUAAUGUAUUCUUUGCCUAGUGGCUAGUGACAACUUAGAUGUUACUAGCCAAAAAAAAAUUUUACUAGCCAAGCGUUGAUGUUGGCUUGGUCCAAUAACAGCAGAAUUACCAGCAAGACUUGUAAGCUACACAAUGCAAGCAACUCUUUUUAAUACAUACUGUUGGUGAUUACAUCAUACUUAAACCAGUUCCAGUAAUAAAACAACAAGAUAUUAUAUUUAUAAAUCAAUGUGAAAAAUGAAAAAGAGUGCAUUAGCAUUUAGACUUACAUCUUCUUCCUGAGUGGGUCAUUUCUUUUCAGAACUCUUGUUUUUUGGCUUUUUCUUUUUUACUGCUAGUAAAACCUUAUAUCCGUCAUGGAAUUUUAAGAAAAACCAAAACAAUGCAAUUUUGCAUCUAAAACCUCUUGACCAGUUGACAUAUAGUCAGCACACCUUGUGUCAUGCUUGACUGGUAACGUUAAACACUAGGGCGAACCAAUUUAUCACCGAAUUGCGCCAGUUUUAAUUUUUUUUUAAUUGCCUGGUGUUUUCCUCACAUCAAAUCUCUCAGGCUAACAGAUCACGAAGAAAAAUCCAGGGAUUUUGCCGAAAUGACUUUCAGGACUCUGUUUUUCUUUGAGACUUCCAUGGAAAAAUAUCAAGACCCCAAAACAUCAUUGUAAAAACUGUCGAGACUUCUUCAGUCUCUGCACAGACAGGAGCUUUAGAAUUUAAACUGUUUCAAAAGCAACGUUACCGAAAUUUGACUGCUAAUAAAUGUUGAAGGAAAUAAAUCUUCCUCAUGUUAUUAUUUCUGCAGUGGUAAGUUUUGUCAGUAUGGACACAAUGACAAAUCACCUACGUGUUGUUACGUUAAAUGAAAUGUUAUCCUUUCACAGUUCCGCAUGAUUUUGUGUGGGAUUUUAUCAGGAUGCCCAUGUUUUGUUCUACUAAUUUUGUAACAAAAAAAGAAGAUUGAUGUGUGCUUUCAGAAAAUGUUGUCUUGUUUGUCAAUAUU